rnacentral:tRNA from 1 species
UAUUUGUUUUUUUGUUUAUCGUCUUAAUCUCAUUUAGAAAAUAAAUUUCAUGAGUAAAAAUAUUCCCAUUAUUCAUCACUGAAUUGUGGGAGCUGAUGCACUAUCAGCAUAUGGUAGGGGCUGAGUACGUAGUGGCUUGUUUGAACUUGGGGCUGCACAGCAUAGCUACUAAUGCUGUCUACAGCUUCAAAUCACAGCAGCCUCAUUUCAAGCCCUGCAUUAUUUCCUUUCUUGCCCUUUGCCCUUAGCAAUCCACUCGGCUAAUUUGAACCGGAUUCCUCCUGACUGUGUAUGUUAACAUAAUGAUCAGUAACACUUAUGGAAUGUGCGACAUGUGUAAAUCAUUCUGAGAGAGAUUUGAAUGGGUUAGUUAUUUGAACUGUUACAAGAAUCCUAAGAAGAAAGCAUUAGUAAGAUUCCCACUGUUUAGACUGAGAAAACUGAGUGUAACAGGGUUAAGGGGCCUUUCUAAAAGUCCCAGAGCUACAGUCUUACUCCAGAGACUGUGUUCUGAGGAUGACGUGUGAUAAUCUCUGAAAAGCUGUGGGGCUGGUGAUUCUAAUUACUGAGCCGAGAAGGUAUAGGUAGGUCUAGAAAUCACUUGAGUUACACUCUUGCAACAAAAAUUCCAGAUUGUAGUAGCCAUGGAGCAUGAGUUUGGGCCUUCUCUAUAUUGUCCUGCCUGCCUGGUGUAAACCAUUACACCUGGUGUACUGAUAUCAGAACAAGGAAAGUUUUUGAUUAUAUACUUUUCCUUAAGCACAAUGUUCAGUUUUCACAUCUUGUGUUCAUUAAAUCUUUUAAAUUCCAGUUAAAGUCACAUGGUCUGAUUUUAUUUGUUCAGAUUAUUCACUUGACGUCUUACAAAUUGAUGUAAGGGCUGUUGUUAAAAUAAUGCACAUACCACCAUCACAUCUUAUCAGAGACUACUUACUCCCAAGAAAAAAAAUGAAGCGGUGUCAAAUUUAAAUUUCAAAUAAAUAUUUCAUUUUGGAGGGGAUGUGUUUGUAGGUUUCAAAACACUCAAGCUUAAAUUAUUGAAGUACUAAUUGGAUAAUUCCCUACUGUACUGUGUUCUGUGUCCAAUUAGAAUGUAUGUCACUCUCCUUUAAGGUCUUACGGUAGCUUAUUCCUACCACUUAGCCCAUCAUCAAUCAGGAAGUGUUCUGGUGGUUUGUGGUGUUUGUGUUGUUGUUUUGUUUUGAAAUUUUAUAGCCCCAUUCAAUUCUGAGAGCCUCACAGACAAAUGCUGCAGACUAGCCAUAUAAUGAAUGAAUGCCCUAGCGCUUGGCAUCUUAUGUCCUACCUCUUGCAAACUCCUACAUGUCUGUGGAUUUCCAUGUGUUCUCUAAUGAUAAAACAAGGAAAAGCCCAGUAAUAAGAGAUGAUUAAUGAACAAUUGGGGGGGGGUGUCACGUUUUGGUGCUCUGACAAUAUCCCACCUCAGAGCGCCUCCUUGUUGGAAGGAGGGAUGCUUCGAUGUAAAGUAAUAGAACGUACAUCAGACAAUGUCACCUUCAUGUGUAGCUGGUGUUUCAAUACAGAGGGUCGGGAACUGUAAACCCAGGUUCUGCUCUGACCAUCUGCUAUUGCACUAGCCCCUGAUGGGCAUCUUUUGCCAGGUAUAUUAUGACUGUCUAGUGACGGCAACAACAGGAAGAAUGUAAAACAGACUUAAUUUAUCAGUGAGCCCUUCCCCCCUGCUUCUAUGCCUCCUUCUCCAGGAGGACUGUUGAAAAAUGGCUAUAAAAGACAGGAUGUUAUCAACCUUAUAUCGACAACAUUCGUUAACCAUCUCUAUGCAGUAAGUGUUUUUUUCCCCUGUAAUUAUAGACCUCGUAUCUUCCUCAAAUUCUGCGCACCUAAGGUAGGUAGUGGGGAUGGUAAGACUGGUGUGUGUAAAGCGCCUCGUGAAUUACAGUGACGCAGAGAGCCCAGCCCGUAGCUGGCUACCUCUGCUUUAAUGGAAAGAACUUGUCUUUUUUACGGGGUUAGAUAAGGAUUUGCAUAUAUUACCUCCAUUCACACCAGCCAGAAAAUUAUGCAGUAGGUGCUAUUUUAACCCCAUUUUACAAAUGAGAAAAUCGAGGCUUAAAUAACAGUAAAUUGACAGUAGCUGAUAGAACAAGGAAAAUUGCAGUCUGUCUUAUUUCAACUUCCAUGCGCUUAAACCUUAACCAUGACUUGUAGUGAAUCUCCAUCCUAACCUGUAAUAAAUUAUAACUAUUUGGAUGAUUUUAUCUUUCAGUGUCUUCCAGACUUCACGGAUAUUGUAUAAUUAUGUUUGUAAUAACGCACAAUAUUGAGAUAGGGGAAAUGACACAGAUGGGAAGAAAUAAUGCCGAUACCGUACAAUUCACUAUCCCAGGGGGCGGAGGGGCUCCAGAACCCCUGGUAGCCUGUCUGAAUUCUUCUAAAUGCAGCAUGAUUUAUGGAGUCCUUAUGACAUAAUGUGAAAGCACUCUUUCCUGAUUUCAGACUGUUUCAUUCUAGCUCGCGACUGCAUUCUUCACCGCGCGCCCGGGCUCGAAUUCUUUCGCCCUUCGUUAGCAUCAUCGUGUUGUUUAUUGUGGGCUUGUCAUGGUCAUGUGUUCGGCAUUGUGCAUAGUGGUAAGAGCCAUGGGUGAAAGAAAUAUUGCCUCUGCUUUCAGAGACAUCAUAGACAAGUAGCGACAAUGACGGAGAAGCAGGUAGCCUGCCGUGGACACGGGUGUUUGGUCAUAGAUAAGGUAUAUGCUGUCUUCUUCACCCUCCUCUCCUCCAAGAGUCAGGCAAGAAGCAGGAAUUUGGAGGAGGGGGAUGAGGAGAGGAGGGAGAGGACAGGGAAGAAGAGAAGGGUCAGGAGCAGGAAAAGAAUGAAAGCCAAGCAUUUGCUUCAAAGUGCAAAUCAUCCUCAAGCGGGUAGGUCGAGUCCACCUUCUCCACAGUUUUAUCUCUGACUUUCUUACCUGGAAAGAAGCUUCCCCUUUUCUGAACUGUCAUGGUUUCUACUUUGUAUUGUUUACACACACACACACAAUUUUGGCCACACCUGUGACAUGUGGGAAUUGUUCCCAGGCCAGGGAUUGAACCUGAGUCACAGCAGUGACAAAGCCAAGCUCUUAACUGCUAAGCCAUCUGAGAACUCCAACAUAUAUUACUGCUAUGCAUGACUUUCUCUCCUAGAUAGAUAGGAAAAUACAUGUAUUUUAUCUAUUUCCUAGAAUAAAUAGUAUAGCUACGUUAACUCAGUAGAUGUCCAGUGCCUAUAUUUUGAUUCAUGGAAUAAAUUAUAAAUAGCAUAAAUAGAACAGUGGCAUGCCAUGUGAGUUUGUUCCCUGGGCCAGGAACUUCCAUGUACUGUGGAUAUGG